AUAUAAAACCGUUUAUACCGACAAUACAUGUCGAUUAAGCUAUUUUAUAAUUUAGUACUUUCAUUUAAUUUUGUAUGUUAACAAUGAAGGAAAAGAGAAAUUGGAGAACAAGUCCAUUUUAUGCACCAUUUGGAGGAGGAGCUAGAUUUUGUCCAGGAGCUGAACUUGCUCGUCUUCAAAUUGCUCUUUUUCUUCAUUACUUUGUAACAAACUACAAAUGGACACAAAUGAAGGAAGAUAGAAUGUCCUUCUUUCCCUCAGCUCGAUUAGUGAAUGGCUUUGAAAUUUGUCUAACAAGAAGAACAAGAAAUGAUAAUCAAAGAAAUUGAAACAAAGAUGUCACCAACAUGUUCAUCUCAAAUUAAUCCUCAGUCAAUGUUUUCUCUGGCUACAUGUUUUUGCUGAGUAUAUUCUCAGUUGUCACAACAAUGAUGUGUUAUUUCAGAGUUUAAAUUAUAUCUUGUUUUGUAUAAAUGUGUAUAGAAUAACUUUUUUACUAUACUAUAUAAUAACAUGUUCAUUACUCAUGUAAGGAUUGUAUAGUAUAGUAUGUAUACACCUACUAAGUCA